rnacentral:rRNA from 1 species
GAUGAACGCUGGCGGCGUGCCUAAUACAUGCAAGUCGAGCGAACAGACGAGGAGCUUGCUCCUCUGACGUUAGCGGCGGACGGGUGAGUAACACGUGGAUAACCUACCUAUAAGACUGGGAUAACUUCGGGAAACCGGAGCUAAUACCGGAUAAUAUAUUGAACCGCAUGGUUCAAUAGUGAAAGACGGUUGUGCUGUCACUUAUAGAUGGAUUCGCGCCGCAUUAGCUAGUUGGUAAGGUAACGGCUUACCAAGGCGACGAUGCGUAGCCGACCUGAGAGGGUGAUCGGCCACACUGGAACUGAGACACGGUCCAGAGUCCUACGGGAGGCAGCAGUAGGGAAUCUUCCGCAAUGGGCGAAAGCCUGACGGAGCAACGCCGCGUGAGUGAUGAAGGUCUUCGGAUCGUAAAACUCUGUUAUUAGGGAAGAACAAAUGUGUAAGUAACUAUGCACGUCUUGACGGUACCUAAUCAGAAAGCCACGGCUAACUACGUG